ACGGUCCUAAGGUAGCGAAAUUCCUUGUCGGGUAAGUUCCGACCUGCACGAAUGGCGUAACGACUUCCCCACUGUCUCGACCAGGAGCUCGGCGAAAUUGCAGUACGAGUAAAGAUGCUCGUUAAGCGCAGAAGGACGAAAAGACCCCGGGACCUUUACUAUACCUUGGUAUUGGCGUUAGGCGCGGAUUGUGUAGCAUAGGCGGGAGGCUUCGAAGCGGGUGCGCCAGCAUUCGUGGAGCCGCAAGGUGAAAUACCGCUCUGUUCUCGUUUGACGUCUCACCUCGAACAGUCAUCCUGUUCAGGGACAGUGCCUGGCGGGUAGUUUAACUGGGGCGGUUGCCUCCCAAAGAGUAACGGAGGCGCUCAAAGGUCCGCUCAGCCCGGUUGGCAAUCGGGUGUCGAGUGUAAUCGCACAAGCGGGCUUGACUGCGAGGACGACGGUCCGAGCAGGGACGAAAGUCGGAGAUAGUGAUCCGGUGCCGGCGCACGGGCGCGGCAUCGCUCAACGGAUAAAAGGUACCCCGGGGAUAACAGGCUGAUCAUUCCCAAGAGUCCAUAUCGACGGGAUGGUUUGGCACCUCGAUGUCGGCUCGUCGCAUCCUGGGGCUGGAGCAGGUCCCAAGGGUUCGGCUGUUCGCCGAUUAAAGCGGCACGCGAGCUGGGUUCAGAACGUCGUGAGACAGUUUGGUCUCUAUCCUCUGCGCUCGUUGGAAUCCUGAGGAGGCCUGCCCAUAGUACGAGAGGACCUGGGUGGACGAACCUCUGGUAUGCCGGUUGUCACGCCAGUGGCACGGCCGGUUGGCUACGUUCGGAAGGGAUAACCGCUGAAAGCAUCUAAGCGGGAAGCCUGCCUUAAGAUAAGUUCUCCCUGACGCAAGUCCUGAAGGGCCGAGGUAGACGACCUCGUUGAUAGGCUGGAGGUGGAAGUACCGUGAGGUAUGGAGCUGACCAGUACUAAUAGCCCGUGCGUCUUGUUUC
rnacentral:rRNA from 1 species